UACGGAGGGAGCGAGCGUUGUUCGGAAUUACUGGGCGUAAAGGGUGCGCAGGCGGCUUGGCAAGUCGGAAGUGAAAUCCCAGGGCUUAACCCUGGAAUUGCUUUCGAAACUGCCAAGCUAGAGUCUCGGAGAGGUUAGCGGAAUUCCUAAUGUAGAGGUGAAAUUCGUAGAUAUUAGGAGGAACACCUGCGGCGAAGGCGGGUUGCUGGGCUGACACUGACGCUGAACUGCGAAAGCUAGGGGAGCGAACGGG
rnacentral:rRNA from 1 species